UACGUAGGUGGCGAGCGUUGUCCGGAAUUACUGGGUGUAAAGGGCGCGUAGGCGGUCUGUUAAGUUAGAUGUGAAACCCCCGGGCUUAACCCGGGGCAUGCAUCUAAAACUGGGAGACUUGAGUGCAGGAGAGGAAAGCGGAAUUCCUAGUGUAGCGGUGAAAUGCGUAGAUAUUAGGAGGAACACCAGUGGCGAAGGCGGCUUUCUGGACUGUAACUGACGCUGAGGCGCGAAAGCGUGGGGAGCAAACAGG
rnacentral:rRNA from 1 species